ACACUCCUACGGGAGGCAGCAGUGGGGAAUUUUGGACAAUGGGCGAAAGCCUGAUCCAGCAAUGCCGCGUGAGUGAAGAAGGCCUUCGGGUUGUAAAGCUCUUUUGUCAGGGAAGAAACGGUGAAAGCUAAUAUCUUUUGCUAAUGACGGUACCUGAAGAAUAAGCACCGGCUAACUACGUGCCAGCAGCCGCGGUAAUACGUAGGGUGCAAGCGUUAAUCGGAAUUACUGGGCGUAAAGCGUGCGCAGGCGGUUUUGUAAGUCUGAUGUGAAAUCCCCGGGCUCAACCUGGGAAUUGCAUUGGAGACUGCAAGGCUAGAAUCUGGCAGAGGGGGGUAGAAUUCCACGUGUAGCAGUGAAAUGCGUAGAUAUGUGGAGGAACACCGAUGGCGAAGGCAGCCCCCUGGGUCAAGAUUGACGCUCAUGCACGAAAGCGUGGGGAGCAAACAGGAUUAGAUACCUUGGUAGUCCCAUGA
rnacentral:rRNA from 1 species